rnacentral:sRNA from 1 species
UCCUCUUUCACUACCAAGGACCUGUGCCCUGCGAUCCCCUGGCUGCAAUUUGCGGCUUCAGGGUUGAACGCAGACGGCAGCUCGAUCGUUCUAUGGAGCCACACAUACUUCGGUGGUGUUAUCCGAUCGACAGUUCCCAUAUCAAGUCAGCUAGAUUGGCCAUACCCGAGUUCUUCGCUUGUACCUUGCACAUGCUCGCUCUUCACACGGGCUGAGCGGUGUGAGGGAGACGGCUCGGGGAGACCAAUCUUGUGCUGUUGCCGCUAUAUUCCACCCCUUUUUUCUGAGGUCAUUGAUCAGUGAAGUUGAGGAUACCCAUAGUUGGCUACAUUU